rnacentral:rRNA from 1 species
GACAGAGGGUGCAAACGUUGCUCGGAAUUACUGGGCGUAAAGCGCGUGUAGGCGGGUUUCCAAGUCAGAUGUGAAAUCCCUGGGCUCAACCCAGGAACUGCAUUUGAAACUGGGAGUCUUGAGUAUCGGAGAGGAAAGCGGAAUUCCUGGUGUAGAGGUGAAAUUCGUAGAUAUCAGGAGGAACACCGGUGGCGGAGGCGGCUUUCUGGACGAUAACUGACGCUGGAGACGCGAAAGCGUGGGGAGCAAACAGG